UGAUAGAAUAAGAAGAACCUUUUCAAGUUUGGAAAAAUCCUGAGCUACUUUUAUGCUGUUCCUUAUUUUGGUUCUAUAUUCAUUAUAAUUGUCCACAUCUUCGCUGUAAUCAAACUGUGCAGAUAUGUGGAAGAACGCUGGGGAUAGCUGUCUAAAGAUUUCAGAUUUCAGUUUUUAUUCGGAGUUAAACCUUUAUUGAUUAUAUAAUCCACGAGAUCUAUACAAAUUAACCAGUUUUCAAUCAAGUUACGGCAAUUGUACAUUUUACUUGGAAUAUCCCCUGACGGCGUGGAAUGCGGCUAUGAUGAAAUUAAAAGUGUACGGAUUUCAGAUGUUAAAUCGGUUUAUCCAAAUUAUAUUGUGUCUAGUAAAAAUCGUGUGUUAAGCAUUACUUGACUAUAAAAUACAAGGGGAAAUAAACAUCGUGUAUUAUACAGAUGGCUUAAUAUACCAGCACAACACUGUUUAAUUGAUACCCCUUAAUAAUCGGAAACCUAAGUGGGCUGUUCUCCCAAAGAAUUAGCGGUGGCUUUUAUUCUUUCAGAUUGUCUAACAUGUUUGAGCUUGGAAGCUGAGGAAGCUGCGAGAUCCGAUUAACAACAUUCAACGGAUUUGGGACAUUCGUCCCAAUCUCAACCGAAACUCGCCACAUACCCCUUCGAUAAUGUACAGUACACCGAAGAUCUUGGGACUGAUGAAAAAAAGCUUCGUUUACCAAAGACCAAAGUUUGAGAGAUAGUUUUUGAACACAAGACCCAAAAAAGCAUUUUGUUGCGCCUUAACUGAACGUGCAGUUAAGAAUCUAAUCUUUAAAAUUCCAUUACCAAUAUGCAGUCCAACUUUUGUAAUCCUAGUUCACUGGUGAAAAAUAAGUUUGAGUGGCAGUACAGAAAAAAGUACGCAUUUACAUGAUAUAGAGUUACGGAAAAUAUACAUAUCGUUUCAAAUUCGACUCAACAAUGUGCAAUUUAUCUCCGGAUUGUUGCGCCUAGUCCAAUCCAAUAUGGUGCGUCGUACAUUCACAUUCUUCUACGGGUACCGAACCGUCAUGGCAGUUUUUGGUGUUCUUAAUGCCAUAUCAGGCUUCUCAUAUUUCGUUGCUGCAUUAUUGCUGCGGUUUGGUGUUGAAAACCCAAGCUAAGACAAGUAGCAUUUUAAGACAAAUAAUUUAUCACUAUCUUAUAAUAGGGCAAUAAGACAAUUGUUUAUGACUGGAAAAGCCUUAAGCUACGUUGAUGCUAUUAUGGGAGUUUUUUCAUAUAUCCACCAGGUUAGUCACUCCUCUGGCGUAUGCAUUGUAUAGAUUUGUUUCAGAGUA